rnacentral:misc_RNA from 1 species
AAGUCGUAACAAGGUUUCCGUAGGUGAACCUGCGGAAGGAUCAUUAAAGAACGCCCCGUUUUUUACAAAUGGGUUCAAUACCCCAACCGUGUAUACCUUACCUUUGUUGCUUGGCGGGCCGCCUGAGCGUGGCUCGGCUGACUGCGCCGCAGACGCAACCCAAACCAUCGUUUCGUUUUGAUGUGAUGCCUGAGUACUAUAAAAUUUUAAAA